rnacentral:rRNA from 1 species
CAGGAUGAACGCUAGCGGCAGGCUUAACACAUGCAAGUCGAGGGGCAUCGGGAGUAGCAAUACUUGCCGGCGACCGGCGCAAGGGUGCGUAACGCGUGAGCAACAUGCCCGUAUCAGGGGGAUAAUCCAUGGAAACGUGGUCUAAUACCCCAUAGUAAUUAUGUAAGGCAUCUUAUAUAAUUUAAAGCUUUGGUGGAUACGGAUUGGCUCGCGUGACAUUAGCUGGAUGGUAAGGUAACGGCUUACCAUGGCUACGAUGUCUAGGGGUUCUGAGAGGAAGGUCCCCCACACUGGAACUGAGACACGGUCCAGACUCCUACGGGAGGCAGCAGUGAGGAAUAUUGGACAAUGGAUGGAAAUCUGAUCCAGCCAUGCCGCGUGCAGGAAGACGGCCCUAUGGGUUGUAAACUGCUUUUGUAUGGGAGCAAUAAGGGCUACGUGUAGUCCGAUGAGAGUACCAUACGAAUAAGCACCGGCUAACUCCGUGCCAGCCGCCGC